GGAUGUGAGGGCGAUCUGGCUGCGACAUCUGUCACCCCAUUGAUCGCCAGGGUUGAUUCGGCUGAUCUGGCUGGCUAGGCGGGUGUCCCCCUCCUCCCUCACCGAUCCAUGUGCGUCCCUCCCGAAGCUGCCCGGGCUGGGGGACCCCCCCCCCCCCCCCCCCCGAGGAGAGGACCGGUCUUUGGUCAAGGGUAUACGAGUAGCUGCGCUCCCCUGCUAGAACCUCCAAAACACUGGUUAUAAGGAUGUUCAGUGAACUUAGGGGUAGAAUAGAGGAAGUUAGUGAGAAUUUCAACAAAGU
rnacentral:snRNA from 1 species